rnacentral:rRNA from 1 species
GAUGAACGCUGGCGGCGUGCCUAAUACAUGCAAGUCGAACGCUGGAAAUCUAGCUUGCUAGAUUGAAGGAGUGGCGAACGGGUGAGUAAUACAUAAGCAACCUACCCACGAAGAUUGGGAUAAUCUCUGGAAACGGGGACUAAUACCGGAUAGGUAAUCGGAAGGCAUCUUCUGAUUAUUAAAGGUUAAAAACACUGGUGGAUGGGCUUAUGGCGCAUUAGUUAGUUGGUGAGGUAACGGCCCACCAAGGCGACGAUCGGUAGCCGGCCUGAGAGGGUGAACGGCCACAUUGGGACUGAGACACGGCCCAAACUCCUACGGGAGGCAGCAGUGGGGAAUAUUGGACAAUGGGGGGAACCCUGAUCCAGCGACGCCGCGUGAGUGAAGAAGUAUUUCGGUAUGUAAAGCUCUAUCAGCAGGGAAGAAAAUGACGGUACCUGACUAAGAAGCCCCGGCUAACUACGUGCCAGCAGCCGCGGUAAUACGUAGGGGGCAAGCGUUAUCCGGAUUUACUGGGUGUAAAGGGAGCGCAGACGGCGAAGCAAGUCUGAAGUGAAAUACAUGGGCUCAACCCAUGAAUUGCUUUGGAAACUGUUUGGCUUGAGUGUCGGAGGGGUAAGCGGAAUUCCUAGUGUAGCGGUGAAAUGGCUCAGAUAUCAGGAGGAAUA